UUAUUGGAGAGUUUGAUCCUGGCUCAGGACGAACGCUGGCGGCGUGCCUAAUACAUGCAAGUCGAGCGGACUUGAGGGAGCUUGCUCCCGAUGGUCAGCGGCGGACGGGUGAGUAACACGUGGGCAACCUGCCUGUAAGACUGGGAUAACUCCGGGAAACCGGGGCUAAUACCGGAUAAUUCAUUCCCUCACAUGAGGGAAUGCUGAAAGACGGCUUUUGCUGUCACUUACAGAUGGGCCCGCGGCGCAUUAGCUAGUUGGUGAGGUAACGGCUCACCAAGGCCACGAUGCGUAGCCGACCUGAGAGGGUGAUCGGCCACACUGGGACUGAGACACGGCCCAGACUCCUACGGGAGGCAGCAGUAGGGAAUCUUCCGCAAUGGACGAAAGUCUGACGGAGCAACGCCGCGUGAGCGAAGAAGGCCUUCGGGUCGUAAAGCUCUGUUGUCAGGGAAGAACAAGUACCGGAGUAACUGCCGGUACCUUGACGGUACCUGACCAGAAAGCCACGGCUAACUACGUGCCAGCAGCCGCGGUAA
rnacentral:ncRNA from 1 species